UCUAGCCAUGGAGACUAUGACAAAACAGAUGAAAGUGAAACUAUUCUGAUUUCACCCUACCCUCUAACAGGGGAAGAUGGAAACCAAAGGGCAAACUCCAAACAAUUUUGACUGUGCAGCAGUGACACCUGGACCUGAGAAGCCAUUUGGUCGAGCACAGUGCACUUCACUCGGGUGGCAGUUCUGCACAGCAGUCAAAAUGAUCGCCAGGAUGGAACCAGGCAGGAAACCCACUUCCUUUAUGGAUGAAAAGAGGAACCUCAGACAAUGAAAGGCUAUGCAUUCGUCCUGAUCCCUGUGCCGUCACCUCUCAUUACCUGCAUGAAAGAAGGGGAUUGUUUGGAUUUCAGGACUGGGCACGUUCCUUGAUUUUCCGAUCCAGCUGCUGUUCAUUCACAGGCUCUCGGUUGGCCAAAGCCAAAUGCCAUAUGUCCCGUUUAGUACCUGGUUCAGAUUACAGUGUAUACUGCUUUUA